rnacentral:rRNA from 1 species
UUUAUUAGAAGAGACGCAUUUAUUAGGAUAAAAAGCCAGUUCAUGCUUUUAUAGUAUGAAAAUUGGUGAUUUAUAAUAACUUAGCAAAUCGCAAAGUGAAAACAGGCGAUAAAUCAUUCAAGUUUCUGACCUAUCAGCUUUCGACGGUAUGGUAUUGGCUUACCGUGGCAGUGACGGUUAACGGGGGAUUAGGGUUCGAUUCCGGAGAGGGAGCCUGAGAAACGGCUACCACAUCUAAGGAAGGCAGCAGGCGCGCAAAUUACCCAAUUCUAACAGUUUGAGAGAGGUAGUAACAAGAAAUAACAAUACAAGGCAGUUAAAAUGCUUUGUAAUUGGAAUGAUAGAAAUUUAAACCCUUUUUAAAGUAUCAAUUGGAGGGCAAGUCUGGUGCCAGCAGCCGCGGUAAUUCCAGCUCCAAUAGCGUAUAUUAAAAUUGUUGCAGUUAAAAAGCUCGUAGUUGAAGUUCUGCUGAAAGUAACCGGUCUGCUUUUAAUAAAAGUGGUAUCUUGGUAUGUAUUUAGCAAUGAUGUCCUUUGAAGUGUUUUUUACUUUAUUGUAAUAAAGCAUAUUCAGGACUUUUACUUUGAGAAAAUUAGAGUGUUUCUAGCAGGCUAACGCUUUGAAUA